rnacentral:misc_RNA from 1 species
ACAUCCUCAACUCUCACGGCUUGCCGUGAUGAGCUUGGACUUUGGAGGUCUUUGCUGGGCUUUUGCAGGUCAGCUCCUCUCAAAUGGAUCAGCUUUACCGGUGUUCGGUGGCAUCACAGGUGUGAUAACUAUAUCUACGCUUGUGCCUUUCCACCGGGGUAACCUUCGUCACUGAAGGUUCACUGGGGGCUCAUAAAUGUCUCUCCUCAGUGAAGACAGCUCUUUGAAC